AAAGAACGCGAAACAGAUAAAACGACAAUAUAUUGACAUUACAUGCAAUAAAUUAGUUAUUGCCGUUUAAAUCACAGAUGCAGACUGGCACUAAAGAAAUAGGAGAGGUGAUUUUGAAUCGUGAUGCAUUAAUAGGCUAACGUUAGGUCUUUUAAGUUCCUUGGUCUGACCCACAUUACUCCGCUCUAAUUAAUAACCAGUACAUCACUUUUAAGUAAAAAUUUGACCCAGGGCUAUCCCGCUUUCCAUAUGCAUAUCCGCGUGCUGCAGCUUUGGCCAUCACCAUGCAUACAUUUAAAAGCAUCUUUUCAGUCCCGCAUCUCAAUGCAGAUAUCUCGAUUUGAUCAUCGUUUAUUCGACGCUCAGGUCUCAUUGGCUAGAUUUAUAUGCGGGUGUAACAGCAUGUCAAAGCAACAUAUGUCGUCCGUUUUAGCUGUUAAUCUACGACAAAAGACGAACUGAUGUCAUUUUGUAGCCUCUUCGUUUUGUCCGAAUUAUGGUUUCGUCUUGCGGUAAAAUCUGUAGCUACAGCCCAGCGAGCGCACGGACAGAAGAAUUUUUCCAUGGUUCCCCUGGUUUGUGAGAUGUCCGCAGCUUUGAAAAACACUGGUGUAAAGAUGGCAUGGAUUGGAGAGGCCCGCUGUGCUGCUGCUGCUGCCCACACACCGGUGCAGUUGCACUGUUUGGCCGCCGGAGGGCAGCGCGGGACCGGAACACAGUGGCAGCGGAGGGAGGGGGGAAAGGGAAGGCGGUCGAGAGAUCGCUGGCCGUGCAACACGGACUAUAGUUCAUCUCACGGGUCAGCGCAUAUUUUAAACAGCCUUUAUUACACUAACCCAGACCCCUGUUUUUUCCCCUCCCGUUUUUAAAUCCGUUUACUGAGGGUCUUUUAUAAGCAGAAAUGUGAAAAGUGCUGACUGCUAACGUUAUUCCCAUUUUGAGGAUAUCUGACCUCAUCAAAUUACAGUUGGGGUUUUGAAUAUUUCAUAUUUGAUCAAAAGCCCUUUACAAGCUGCACACAUACACAUGGGCCGACAUGGGGCAUGAUCAAUUUUUAAAACUCCAAUCAUUAUGCACAAAUUGACCCACAAUGCCCACUUUAAUUCAGGUAUUUAUUAAGAAACCUUUGCAACCAUUUCACUUGUAUUAUUUCAAAGGUGUCUGUAAUGAAAGCCUAGGCAUAUAGUGUCUAGCAUUAGCCUUUUGUGCUAUAAGUUUGGUGCUUGCACGUAAAGCGAUUCAUGCACUCUGGUUGCUAUCGAACUGCACAACACUGCAGUUCCCCUUUUAACCCCCCAUCGAAAACACUUUAAAAUGGCCAGCCUAGGACGGAGGCCAAUACUGGCCUUGGCUGUACCUUGAAUAAUGAAUAAUUCAUCUGUUUGACCUUUAGCUGAAGUUUAUUGGAGGGUGAAGGCAUCCUGCUGGCCUGCCUGCUGCCUGGCCCAGCUUGAGCUCUGUUUCCCCUCUCAGUCACGUCUCCUUCGAUAUCCUCGCCUUCUCUCGCUGUCACCAAGUGAGGUGUGAGGACACAAAAUGUCUUGACCAUCAAAGUUCCUCGCCGUGUCUUGGUCUUGUGUUUUGACUUGUUUUGAAGGUCAGGUUUGUUACGUCCACCUAUAUUAAACAUAACCUCUGACCCAGCAUGAGUUGCUCAGAAUCAUGGGAUCGUCCUCCUGUUGUGUGUCUACCCUGUGAAACAUAUUGUAUGUUAACGUAAAUCCAGUGUGCAGAAUGACAGUGAGUGAUUGCUCUGAAUUGGUUGCAUGUUUUAGAACUACGUUAGUUUUCAAUUAAUCCUCGAUUCCAGCAUCCCAACAGUCCCAUGAGCUCUUUCGCAAUGAAAUGGCUGACUGGACUGUUUUACCUGUCGCCUUAGGCUGGUGCUAAAUGUCAUUGACAUUAAAUUUCCUUUAAGUCUGAUUUAAUUGUGUCACUGGUGAUUUCUGUCCUCAACUGGCCAAAUAUGUCAAAUUCUGCUCGUUCCAUUUCCCUUAGCUUAUGCUCUAUAAUGGGUUAUGUCUGCUCAUCCUGUUUUGCAAUAUUAACAUGCCCUUCACGGCUAAGACUGAGGGUUUGAGUGGUUAUCAAAUGGGCACUUUCAAAAUCUCUAUAUAUUGAUAAUUUGUUUGAAAACAUUUGCAUUUGAAAGGUUUUAUACCAAAAGUAUCUCCAAGGACACCAUCAA